rnacentral:tRNA from 1 species
CUAUUGGUGGUUCAGUGGUAGAACUUUCAGCUUCCACGUGGAGACCUGGGUUCGAUUCCCAGCCAAUGCA